rnacentral:rRNA from 1 species
GUGAACGCUGGCGGUAGGCCUAACACAUGCAAGUCGAACGGCAGCACAGUAAGAGCUUGCUCUUACGGGUGGCGAGUGGCGGACGGGUGAGGAAUACAUCGGAAUCUACUUUUUCGUGGGGGAUAACGUAGGGAAACUUACGCUAAUACCGCAUACGACCUACGGGUGAAAGCAGGGGAUCUUCGGACCUUGCGCGAUUGAAUGAGCCGAUGUCGGAUUAGCUAGUUGGCGGGGUAAAGGCCCACCAAGGCGACGAUCCGUAGCUGGUCUGAGAGGAUGAUCAGCCACACUGGAACUGAGACACGGUCCAGACUCCUACGGGAGGCAGCAGUGGGGAAUAUUGGACAAUGGGCGCAAGCCUGAUCCAGCCAUACCGCGUGGGUGAAGAAGGCCUUCGGGUUGUAAAGCCCUUUUGUUGGGAAAGAAAAGCAGUAGGUUAAUACCCCGCUGUUCUGACGGUACCCAAAGAAUAAGCACCGGCUAACUUCGUG